ACUGCUAUACCCGAUGUGCCGCAAGGUGAAACCUAAUUGGCCUGGAGAAGAGCUUGCGUCUGAUUAGCUAGUUGGUGGGGUGAAGGGCCUACCAAGGCGACGAUCAGUAGCUGGUCUGAGAGGAUUCGAGCAGCCACACUGGGACUGAGACACGGCCCAGACUCCUACGGGAGGCAGCAGUGGGGAAUUUUCCGCAAUGGGCGAAAGCCUGACGGAGCAACGCCGCGUGAGGGAGGAAGGUCUUUGGAUUGUAAACCUCUUUUCUCAAGGAAGAAGUUCUGACGGUACUUGAGGAAUCAGCCUCGGCUAACUCCGUGCCAGCAGCCGCGGUAAUACGGGGGAGGCAAGCGUUAUCCGGAAUUAUUGGGCGUAAAGCGUCCGCAGGGUGGUCAGCCAAGUCUGCCGUCAAAUCAGGUUGCUUAACGACCAAAGGACGGUGGAAACUGGCAGACUAGAGAGCAGUAGGGGUAGCAGGAAUUCCCAGUGUAGCGUGAAAUGCGUAGAGAUUGGGAAGAACAAUCGGUGGCGAAAGCGUGCUACUGGGCUGUAUCUGACACUCAGGGACGAAAGCUAGGGGAGCGAAAGGGAUUUAGAUACCCCUGUAGUCCUAGCCGUAAACGAUGGAUACUAAGCGUGGCUUGUAUCGACCCGAAGCCGUGCCGAAGCU
rnacentral:rRNA from 1 species